rnacentral:rRNA from 1 species
AUCAUGGCUCAGAUUGAACGCUGGCGGCAGGCUUAACACAUGCAAGUCGAGCGGUAGCACAGGGGAGCUUGCUCCCUGGGUGACGAGCGGCGGACGGGUGAGUAAUGUCUGGGAAACUGCCUGAUGGAGGGGGAUAACUACUGGAAACGGUAGCUAAUACCGCAUAACGUCGCAAGACCAAAGAGGGGGACCUUCGGGCCUCUUGCCAUCAGAUGUGCCCAGAUGGGAUUAGCUAGUAGGUGGGGUAAUGGCUCACCUAGGCGACGAUCCCUAGCUGGUCUGAGAGGAUGACCAGCCACACUGGAACUGA